GCUAGUUGGUAAGGUAAAGGGCGUUACCAAGGCGAUGAUGCAUAGCCCGAGUUGAGAGACUGAUCGGGCCACAUUGGGGACUGAGACACGGGCCCAAACUCCUACGGGAGGCAGCAGUAGGGAAUCUUCCACAAUGGACGCAAGUCUGAUGGAGCAAACGCCGCGUGAGUGAAGAAGGUUUUCGGAUCGUAAAAAGCUCUGUUGUUGGUGAAGAAGGAUAGAGGUAGUAACUGGCCCUUUAUUUGACGGUAAUCAACCCAGAAAGUCACGGGCUAACUACGUGCCCAGCAGCCCGGUAAAAU
rnacentral:rRNA from 1 species